rnacentral:lncRNA from 1 species
AUCUUUUUUUGUUUGCCCAAAAGUGGUAAAAACUUAAAUGCACUCCUCUCUCUUAUUUUCCUUGUCCAUUUCGGUUUUCUUACUCUCCAACACACUCCUCCAGCUCUUUCUUCUUCCUCACACCGAAAACACACACCCAAGAGACCCCAUUUCAAAGUUCAACUCCAUUCAAGACAAUAAACCCACACUACUACUACUUCAACUCACCCAAUCUUCCAUUUCUUCAAGCUCUUGUGCAAAAAACGAAAAUAACAUUAUACCAUUCAACUCAAGCACUGUCCAGCCCCAAUAACAUCAUCAAACUCUGGUUCCAAACUAGUUUCAAACAUUAAAACCGAAAUAUGAAAGGAAAGAGCCAAACCCACAACACCCACACAACACCUUAAGCUCUCUUCAACCCAAAACUCACAUAUAACUCCAUUUUCCUCAACCAACCAACCAAAAUGCAAAGAAAACUGUGAAUAACAGUAGCAAUGGAAGAGGAAACAAAAAUCUAAAGUCACUCAAACCCAACAACCACCAUAGAAAAGCAAAGACAAGCUUAAAAGCUCAAGCUUCAAACAUCAAAAACAAGCAAAUGGAAGAAGGA